rnacentral:rRNA from 1 species
GACGAACGCUGGCGGUGUGCUUAACACAUGCAAGUCGAACGGAAAGGCCCUGCUUUUGUGGGGUGCUCGAGUGGCGAACGGGUGAGUAACACGAGAGUAACCUGCUCUUGACUUUGGGAUAACUUCAGGAAACUGGGGCUACUAUCGGACAGCAGACCAUGUUGCAUGGAGGGCGUUGGAACGUCUCGGCGGUAGGGGAUGGAUGGGCGGCUUACCAGUUUGUUGGUGGGGUAGUGGCUUACCCAGGCUGUGACGGAUAGCCGACCUGGGAGGGUGACCGGCGACAUGAGUACUAAGGGAGGGCCCAGUCGGCAACAGUGGGCAGCGGGGGGGAGUAUUGCACAAUGGGCGGGAGCCUGAGGCGGCGGCGCCGGGGGCGGAAUGACGGCCUUCGGGUUGUGAACCGCUUCCGCCUGUGACGAAGCGGGAGUGACGGUAAUGGGUAAAGAAGCACCGGCUAACUACGUG